UCCCUGAUAGUCUAUCAGCUAUACACGCGCCUAGAGUUCCCAGUCAGCGCGUGAAGCUGGGUUCGACUCCCAGCCAGGGAG